rnacentral:tmRNA from 1 species
GGGGAUGACAUGGUUUCGACGGGUGAGCAGGUCGGCAGGCUGCAUGCCGGGGGGUUCUCGAUACCCCCGUGACCCUCAUCGAGAACUAGAAUAGUUGCAAACGACUACUCUUACUCGCUCGCGGCAUAACCAAACCCGCUAGCUGUCUCCGCCCGGAUUUGCCUAUCGGCCCGGGUAGAGGCACCAUACUUAGAUAGGAUGCGCGCGGAGGUUCCGGCUGGACCGAAGCGCAAAGGACAAUCAGCCUGCGCUUUCGGAGACGCUCGUCAGCGGCUCCAUCUCGGAGAGCUAAGACUUAGAACAGCUGACUACGCAUUGUAGACGCCUGGACUGGCGGCUCGCUCGGACCUGGGUUCGAAUCCCAGCAUCUCCACUG